CGGCCCAGACUCCUACGGGAGGCAGCAGUAGGGAAUCUUCCGCAAUGGACGAAAGUCUGACGGAGCAACGCCGCGUGUAUGAAGAAGGUUUUCGGAUCGUAAAGUACUGUUGUUAGAGAAGAACAAGGAUAAGAGUAACUGCUUGUCCCUUGACGGUAUCUAACCAGAAAGCCACGGCUAACUACGUGCCAGCAGCCGCGGUAAUACGUAGGUGGCAAGCGUUGUCCGGAUUUAUUGGGCGUAAAGCGCGCGCAGGCGGUCUUUUAAGUCUGAUGUGAAAGCCCC
rnacentral:rRNA from 1 species